rnacentral:rRNA from 1 species
GAUGAACGCUGGCGGCGUGCCUAAUACAUGCAAGUCGAGCGAACAGACGAGGAGCUUGCUCCUCUGACGUUAGCGGCGGACGGGUGAGUAACACGUGGAUAACCUACCUAUAAGACUGGGAUAACUUCGGGAAACCGGAGCUAAUACCGGAUAAUAUAUUGAACCGCAUGGUUCAAUAGUGAAAGACGGUUUUGCUGUCACUUAUAGAUGGAUCCGCGCCGCAUUAGCUAGUUGGUAAGGUAACGGCUUACCAAGGCAACGAUGCGUAGCCGACAUGAGAGGGUGAACGGCCACACUGGAACUGAGACACGGUCCAGACUCCUACGGGAGGCAGCAGUAGGGAAUCUUCCGCAAUGGGCGAAAGCAUGACGGAGCAACGCUGCGUGAGUGAUGAAGGUCUUCGGAUCGUAAAACUCUGUUAUUAGGGAAGAACAAAUGUGUAAGUAACUAUGCACGUCUUGACGGUACCUAAUCAGAAAGCCACGGCUAACUACGUG